GCCUGAGUGGCUCAGUCAGUUGAGCGUCCGACUUCAGCUCAGGUCAUGAUCUCACAGUUCAUGGGUUCGAGCCCCAUGUUGGGCU
rnacentral:tRNA from 1 species